rnacentral:rRNA from 1 species
AUACGUAGGUGGCAAGCGUUAUCCGGAAUUACUGGGCGUAAAGCGCACGCAGGCGGCCAGUCCAGUCUGACGUGAAAGCUCCUGGCUUAACUGGGAGAGGUCGUUGGAAACUGAUUGGCUUGAGGCAAUGAGAGGGACACGGAAUUCCCGGUGUAGUGGUGGAAUGCGUAGAUAUCGGGAGGAACACCAGUGGCGAAAGCGGUGUCCUGGCAUUGACCUGACGCUCAUGUGCGAAAGCGUGGGGAGCGAACGGGAUUAGAUACCCUGGUAGUCC